CUCUCCCUUUAUAUCUUCGAUCACUCUCUUUGCUCUGCUAAACUGAGCAAUGGCCGGGAGAGUUGUAGCAACCUUCUCCUCCUCUUUCCUUGUGUCUCUCACUUGCGCACUGCUACUCCUCUCUCUAACACCAGGAGGAUCGGUGAAGCUGGUGCAGGCGCAGGAACAGAAGACUUGGUGCGUGGCGAAACCCUCGUCGGACAAAGCAACUCUCAUCGCCAACUUGGGCUACGCCUGCUCUCGGGUGGACUGCAGCGUGCUGCAGCGGAAAGGCGCCUGCUUCGACCCAGAUAUCCUCAUCUCCCA